UACGUAGGGUGCAAGCGUUAAUCGGAAUUACUGGGCGUAAAGCGUGCGCAGGCGGUGAUGUAAGACAGGUGUGAAAUCCCCGGGCUUAACCUGGGAAUGGCCAUGGAAACUGGCGAACUGGAGUGCGGCAGAGGGGGGUGGAAUUCCGCGUGUAGCAGUGAAAUGCGUAGAGAUGUGGAGGAACACCUGUGGCGAAGGCGCCUUGCUGGCCGAUUUCUGACGCUGAGGCGCGAAAGCGUGGGGAGCAAACAGG
rnacentral:rRNA from 1 species